ACCAGCAGCACAAUGAUGAUGUCACUGACUCUACUGCUGACCUUCCUGGGGCUCCUGGUUCAGGGUUCUUCAGGAGACAUCAUCUUGACUCAGACUCCUAGAGCUCAGUCUGCUGUUCAGGGACAGACCGUCUCCAUCAGGUGUAAAUCUGACCGACUGAUUGGUGAUGACAUCAACUGGUAUCUUCAGAAACCUGGAGAAGCUCCCAAACUUUUGAUUUAUGAUACCACAGAACGUCAGUCUGGAGUUCCUGAGCGUUUUCGUGCAAAAGCAGAACAGACUGACUUCACUUUAACCAUCAGUGGAGUUCAGGCUGAGGAUGCAGGAGUUUACUAUUGUCAGCAACAUAACAGCUUCCCACUCACACAGUGAUACAAGGCCGUAAAAAACCUCAGAGAGAAAGAGGAACUGAUCUGACUCAAAAUGGGGGGAAAAAAAAUCAUCAUUUUAAUAAACUAAAGACAAAUUAUUUUCUAUUAAUUAAUAAUAAGAGCAAUACAGUUCCUGUUUGAAAGCUUUAUUGAUUUCAAAUUUUAAUUCAAAUUUUGUACUGAACAGUUUCAACAGAACAGGAACUGAAUUUAGUCACCAGAAAUUCACUCUAGAACUUUUUUCAGCAAAUGUGAUACAAAGAUCUGCAUCAGGACACUCUGAUAAUACAGAGCAACAAUCUCAGAUUAUUU